UGGGGAAUAUUGCACAAUGGGCGCAAGCCUGAUGCAGCCAUGCCGCGUGUAUGAAGAAGGCCUUCGGGUUGUAAAGUACUUUCAGUCGGGAGGAAGGUGGUAAGGUUAAUAACCUUGGCGAUUGACGUUACCCGCAGAAGAAGCACCGGCUAACUCCGUGCCAGCAGCCGCGGUAAUACGGAGGGUGCAAGCGUUAAUCGGAAUUACUGGGCGUAAAGCGCACGCAGGCGGUCUGUCAAGUCGGAUGUGAAAUCCCCGGGCUCAACCUGGGAACUGCAUUCGAAACUGGCAGGCUAGAGUCUUGUAGAGGGGGGUAGAAUUCCAGGUGUAGCGGUGAAAUGCGUAGGGAUCUGGAGGAAUACCGGUGGCGGAGGCGGCCCCCUGGACAAAGACUGACGCUCAGGUGCGAAAGCGUGGGGAGCAAAAAGG
rnacentral:rRNA from 1 species